CAAAAAGCCCUUGAGAAACUGCCAUCUGGUUGGCACUCAGUGAAGGUCUUUUGUGUCUGUUGGACACAAGACCCUGUGCUUGGGGAGCCCACGUUCUGCCCUGACAGCCCACGUUCUGCCCUGACAGCCGAGGGCAGCCACUUGGGUGCCCAGGAGGGCUUUGGAGUGUCUGGCUUUCAUGUGUUUCUCCUUCCCACCCAGGCUCCGAAGGAAGCCAACAGAGCAAGAAGGAGAAAGAAGAGAGACCCCCCGAUCUUCCUCUGCUUAGUGAGCAGCUGAGCCUAGAUGAACUCUGCGUGCGUGCGUGCGUGCGUGCGUGUGUGCGUGUGUGUGUGCGCUGCGCGCGCGGGUGCGCGCGCAAUUAGGGUUAGACUCCCCCAGACUCCCCGGGGCCGCCUGAGGGGUGCGAUCGCAGUUUUGGGGGCGGGGGAAGGAGGCUCACUCAGGUUGGGCUGGCGGCAGGGUCCGCGGGGGUCACAGAGGUAAGGGGGCCACUGUCACAGAGGGCCGCACCCAGUUGUGCCGCUGCUAUAAAACCAGCGGCCUUGCCUUGGCUGCGCUUGUCCCCAGGACGGUCAGAGGGAGGGAGGAAGGAAAGACAUUGUCUCCGCCUUCCUCCCCCCUUGGCACCAGCGCGAGGCGCACGGGGAGUGAGCGAGCGCGCGAGCCCCGUAGGCCAGGAGCACGGAGGGAGGCCGCAGAGUGGUUACACGCCGACUAGCCGCCAGGCGGGCCUCCCCCCUACAGCUCUCAAAGGCGUGGAGCAGCAGGGAAGGAAGGAGGGAAGAGACGCGGGGGCACAGGGCCAUGGACAUACCUCGAGCCCUGUCUCCCAGUGGCGACCUCGACUUGGCGGAGGUGACCCCCACCCAUGGGGUGGCUGGGCCCCUGGUGAGGCAGCCCUUCAGCCACACCUGCCCUCCCCUGACCCCAGGGGUGCCCUGCCUCUGCCCCCCCCCAGCGGCCAUGGGCCCCUCCCUUUCCCAGCACAAUUGGCCAAAGGUCGGGGGAGGGGGUCAGGAAGCUCGUUUAAGCCCUAACCUUUCUUUGCUCUGCUCUGCCCUGCCCUUUGCUGCUUGUCCUCUGACGCCCACUCGCACCUGUCCCUUCAGAAGAGAGGAAGGGGAGGCAAGACCGGGAGCAGCGAGUCUAUGCUCCCUUACUAUACGGCAGCCAGUGGGUGCCUUGUGGGCCUAUUCAACACGCCCACUGGGAAGCUGCAGAAGCAGUUGUACAGAGAGGAGGAGUACGAGGCCUUCAAGUACGCCCCCAUGUUCGAGAGCGACUUCAUCCAGGUGCUUCCCGUGUAAAGCAUUGAGGUUGGAGCCGGAGGCCAGGCCCCCCUCAUCCCCCAGUCCCACCGCCCUAGCUCUGGAGCUUGUCUCCUUCCCAGGCUCCUCGUGGCGAGCUGGGCUGCUCACUGGCGCCCAGUCUUAUAGGGGGGCAGGGGGAGGGGCGCCGGUGUCCGCAGCAGCAGCAGCAUUUGGUAUCUAAGUGAGGCAGGUCCAUGAAUCCCAGGUCUGCCCGUGGGUUGAAUGACAAGACUUGGCUGAGCAGGACAUGUUGGGGUCUGAGAAGAUUCCACUUGAGAAUGGGGUGGGGAGGGAAGAGAGGCCUCAAAUAACCAACCAGCCAUGAGGUAGGUCGGAACUUGGUGAGGGACUGAUCAUCCACGGGUCUCAGAUAGUAUCCAUCUGCCUCCAGUCCAUCCAGAGGAGGAGGAAGAGGAGCUCUUUGGAAGUGGGCAUCUGGUCUCUCCCGCUCACAUCUCCCUUCCUUUCCAUCCCCCUUCCCCCCUGCAGAUCACCAAGAGAGGGGAAGUGAUUGACCUAGCCUGUCCCUUACCAGAACAGCAUUUCAACCUCCUGGUUUUGAACUUGGAUGAGCUCUAACCGUUCAGAUCAGAAACCGUCCUGCAACACAUGCAGCCAACAUGGUCUUCAAAAAGUCACUUAGAGAAUAACUGGACUUAGAUCAAGGAGGGCUCGAAACCCAUGGACUUCUGAAGAGAACCCCCAUUUCCAUCUCUCACCGGGAAAAUGAGGUGUCACCUCCAAGCAGAGCCUGCACCCCCAGUGUAAAAAAGUCAUAAGGAGGCCACUCAAAGUCUCAGGCAGCCAGUGCAGUUGAGGAAGAAUUGAUGAGAACUUGGGGGUCGGAGAAGGAGUAGUAAGAAGGAGGGAGGACUGUGGAACAUACUUCCCACGGUGGGGAGACUACAGGCUACUCCCCUUGAAGUUUGUGAAGAUUUCUGUCCAUGAGGGUGAGAAGCAGCGUCUUCGGCUGAAACUGGUCAUCGGCAGUCAUUCUACUCACAACUCUGUCCACCCUCCGAUGUCAGGGAGGACCUCUUGUCCUACUGGGAGAAGCUCAUCUAUCUCCUUUGGCCACUUGUGGAGGGCUACAGCAGCCGCCACGCCACCCGUGUUGCGGAUGGCGUCGAGGUGCCUGUUUUCAUUGCAGAAGAUAAAUCUCCUGUGAGUCUAGCCACACA
ensembl:lncRNA